rnacentral:rRNA from 1 species
UACGGGGGGUGCGAGCGUUGUCCGGAAUCACUGGGCGUAAAGGGCGCGUAGGCGGCACUGCAAGUCAGUUGUGAAAUCUCCGGGCUUAACCCGGAAAGGUCAACUGAUACUGCAGGGCUAGAGUACAGAAGGGGCAACUGGAAUUCUCGGUGUAGCGGUGAAAUGCGUAGAUAUCGAGAGGAACACCUGCGGCGAAGGCGGGUUGCUGGGCUGACACUGACGCUGAGGCGCGAAAGCCAGGGGAGCGAACGGG